UUGAAAAUUAAAGUUAAAUAUUAGAGUAGUAUUAGUUAUAUUCUUGAAACUUAAAAAAUUUGGCGGUAUUUUAAUCUAAUCAGAGGAAUCUGUUUCAUAAUUGAUAUUCCACAUUGGAUCUUACUUAAAAAAUUUAAUAUGUAUAUCGUCGUCAUAAGAUUAUAUUUAAAAAUAAAUAAUUUUCUUAAUAAAAAAAUUUUUAAAAUGUCAGAUCAAGGUGCAGUUUAUAUUUAAGUGAAUAAUGGAUUACAAUAAAUUUAUUUAUAUGGAUUUAAUAAUUAAAUUUGUUAAUGAAAGUGGAUUUGAUGGUAAAUUUAUAUAGAUUAUUAAAUUGAUUAUAGUUCUAAAAUAUGC
rnacentral:rRNA from 1 species